AAGCUUUCUCAAACCAUGGCUGUUUCCGCAUGGGCGGAAUACAGUGCCCAGGGACGCUAAAAACAGCGUCCCUGGGGAAGGGUUCACACGGCCGCCACCGCCGCAUUGCAGCAG